UGCUAGACGAGUUUGAUCCUGGCUCAGAAUGAACGUUGGCGGCGUGGAUUAGGCAUGCAAGUCGCGCGACAAGGAACCUUCGGGUUCUGGAGGAGCGGCAAACGGGGUAGUAAGGCAUCGGAACGUACCCUCUUGUUGGGAAUAGCCGCGGGAAACUGCGAGUAAUGCCCAAUAAUCCCUACGGGGCAAAGGUCCGCCGCAGGAGGAGCGGCCGAUGUGAUACCAGCUAGUUGGUGGGGUAAUGGCCUACCAAGGCAACGAUCUCUAGCUGGUCUGAGAGGACGAUCAGCCACACUGGGACUGAGACACGGCCCAGACUCCUACGGGAGGCAGCAGUGGGGAAUAUUGGACAAUGGGCGAAAGCCUGAUCCAGCAAUGCCGCGUGUGUGAAGAAGGCCUGAGGGUUGUAAAGCACUUUCAAUCGUGAAGAAAAGUUGCAGGCUAAUACCCUGUGACCUUGACGUUAACGAUACAAGAAGCACCGGCUAACUCCGUG
rnacentral:rRNA from 1 species